CACGCCGUAAACGAUGAUAACUAGCUGUCCGGGUUCAUGGAACUUGGGUGGCGCAGCUAACGCAUUAAGUUAUCCGCCUGGGGAGUACGGUCGCAAGAUUAAAACUCAAAGGAAUUGACGGGGGCCUGCACAAGCGGUGGAGCAUGUGGUUUAAUUCGAAGCAACGCGCAGAACCUUACCAACGUUUGACAUCCUUAUCGCGAUUAGCAGAGAUGCUUUUCUUCAGUUCGGCUGGAUAAGUGACAGGUGC
rnacentral:rRNA from 1 species